GAUGAACGCUGGCGGCGUGCCUAACACAUGCAAGUCGAGCGAAGCGCUUAAAUUAGAUUUCUUCGGAAUGACGAUUUUUGUGACUGAGCGGCGGACGGGUGAGUAACGCGUGGGUAACCUGCCUCAUACAGGGGGAUAACAGUUAGAAAUGACUGCUAAUACCGCAUAAGACCCCAGCUUCGCAUGAAGCGGUGGUAAAAACUCCGGUGGUAUGAGAUGGUCCCGCGUCUGAUUAGCUAGUUGGUAAGGUAACGGCUUACCAAGGCGACGAUCAGUAGCCGACCUGAGAGGGUGACCGGCCACAUUGGGACUGAGACACGGCCCAGACUCCUACGGGAGGCAGCAGUGGGGAAUAUUGCACAAUGGGGGAAACCCUGAUGCAGCGACGCCGCGUGAAGGAUGAAGUAUUUCGGUAUGUAAACUUCUAUCAGCAGGGAAGAAAGUGACGGUACCUGACUAAGAAGCCCCGGCUAACUACGUG
rnacentral:rRNA from 1 species